CGGCCAUGACAAUUUCGGCCAGCCAUGUUUCUCCUCACUUUCUUCUCUUGCAAGCAUUGCCUCCCAACUACUCCAAUCAAUAAAUGGGCAGCCACCUUCCUUGGCCAAUGAAAAAGGAGGCAGCCACCCCUCUCCCUCUAUAAAUACCCCCUUGGCCGGCCACCACCUCCCCCUUUGCUCAUUUUCUUCACUCUCCACUCCCUCACACUCUCCUCCACUCCUCCACCACGAAAUGCUGCUCCUCCUAGCAACCAUGGCCGGCCAUGUCCAUGGAAACCUCCCCAAGAUGCAACUCCCUCCUUCCUCAAGCUUCCCCUCACCAUGAGAGCUUCCCUCUCCCUCUCUUCUCCCCUAACCCUAGAUGAAUCCAGCUCUAUUUCUCCUUUCUCCUCUCACUAGAUUGGAUCUUGAUGCAGGUGUAUGUUGGUCCAAGCAUGGAGAAGGUUGAGCUAUCUUCAGAUCUGAAGUUCUUGAGCAAAAUCCAAAUCGAGUGAUUCAAAGUUCCGCAGAUAAUUAUUAACAAGAUCUACAAUUUGGCGUUGGUCUCAUCCUCAAAUUCGUUACGGAUUUUGCAUGAUCAAGUUCUGGUCAGAUCUGACUUUGUCGAAUUAAACCAGGAGCUUGGAAACUAGUUUUUGGAUGAAACCAGUUGGGGGAUAUUUGGUUUAUACCAUGGUGAUAACCGAGAGAGGCAAUUGCUAAGUUGUGAUGCACUCAUACCUUUACUAGAUGCGAACAAUUCUGGAGAAGAAGAAGAAGUGGAAUCGGACGAGGAUUUUAUUUAUAUAUGUUGUUGGAAUUCUUAUAUUGAUGGAGUCGAAGAAGUACAGGGACAAAUAAGCCAAGGCAAGCCAUCUCUUGAUCUCUGAAUAUUGAAUCACAUAUGGUGGUUACUUUGUUAUUAUUAAUAUCUCUCGAUCUAUCUUGUGUGAUUUCUACUUUGGUUGUCGGAGAAUGCUUACCGUGAGCAUGUUUACUCUCUUUGGCACCUCGCCGACAAACCCCUUUUUGUAAAUGGUGGUUGUCAACACCAUGAUCUUGGUGUACCCUCUAAAUGUGAUGGGUAUGCCCACUUGUCUUGUGUGUGUCGACCUCUUGACACCCUUUUUGCACCCCAUAGUGGUAUGGUGGUUAGCAUCAUGCCCUUGUCGUAUCUUAAACCCCUUGUUGAUUCCAUGCAUACUUACUCCCAAGUUUGUGAACCCCUUGUUGCUGUUAUACAUACUUACUCUCGAGUGUGUUGAACCCCUUGUUGAUCUUAUGCAUGCUUACUCUAAGCAUGUAUGCCCCCUUGACCACCUAUAUUAUCAUCUUCUUAGUGGUAUGAUGAUUAACAUCAUGACCCUUGUUGAAUCAUGCUAUUUAUGA